CAUGCAGUCGAACGGUAGCACAGAGAGCUUGCUCUCGGGUGACGAGUGGCGGACGGGUGAGUAAUGUCUGGGAAACUGCCUGAUGGAGGGGGAUAACUACUGGAGACGGUAGCUAAUACCGCAUAACGUCGCAAGACCAAAGAGGGGGACCUUCGGGCCUCUUGCCAUCAGAUGUGCCCAGAUGGGAUUAGCUAGUAGGUGGGGUGAUGGCUCACCUAGGCGACGAUCCCUAGCUGGUCUGAGAGGAUGACCAGCCACACUGGAACUGAGACACGGUCCAGACUCCUACGGGAGGCAGCAGUGGGGAAUAUUGCACAAUGGGCGCAAGCCUGAUGCAGCCAUGCCGCGUGUAUGAAGAAGGCCUUCGGGUUGUAAAGUACUUUCAGCGAGGAGGAAGGCAUCAAGGUUAAUAACCUUGGUGAUUGACGUUACUCGCAGAAGAAGCACCGGCUAACUCCGUGCCAGCAGCCGCGGUAAUACGGAGGGUGCAAGCGUUAAUCGGAAUUACUGGGCGUAAAGCGCACGCAGGCGGUCUGUCAAGUCGGAUGUGAAAUCCCCGGGCUCAACCUGGGAACUGCAUUCGAAACUGGCAGGCUAGAGUCUUGUAGAGGGGGGUAGAAUUCCAGGUGUAGCGGUGAAAUGCGUAGAGAUCUGGAGGAAUACCGGUGGCGAAGGCGGCCCCCUGGACAAAGACUGACGCUC
rnacentral:rRNA from 1 species